UACGUAGGGUGCAAGCGUUGUCCGGAAUUAUUGGGCGUAAAGAGCUCGUAGGCGGUUUGUCGCGUCUGCUGUGAAAACGCGAGGCUCAACCUCGCGCCUGCAGUGGGUACGGGCAGACUAGAGUGCGGUAGGGGAGACUGGAAUUCCUGGUGUAGCGGUGAAAUGCGCAGAUAUCAGGAGGAACACCGGUGGCGAAGGCGGGUCUCUGGGCCGAUACUGACGCUGGAGGAGCGAAAGCGUGGGAGCGAACAGG
rnacentral:rRNA from 1 species